UACGUAGGGCGCAAGCGUUGUCCGGAAUUAUUGGGCGUAAAGAGCUCGUAGGCGGCUUGUCACGUCGGGUGUGAAAGCCCGGGGCUUAACCCCGGGUCUGCAUUCGAUACGGGCUAGCUAGAGUGUGGUAGGGGAGAUCGGAAUUCCUGGUGUAGCGGUGAAAUGCGCAGAUAUCAGGAGGAACACCGGUGGCGAAGGCGGCCUGCUGGGGUGGAGCCGACACUGAGGCGCGACAGCGUGGGGAGCAAACAGG
rnacentral:rRNA from 1 species